CCUACGGUGGGCUGCAGUGGGGAAUAUUGGACAAUGGGCGAAAGCCUGAUCCAGCCAUGCCGCGUGUGUGAAGAAGGCCUUCGGGUUGUAAAGCACUUUCAGUGGGGAAGAAAGCCUUGGGGCUAAUACCCUCGAGGAAGUACAUCACCCACAGAAGAAGCACCGGCUAACUCCGUGCCAGCAGCCGCGGUAAUACGGAGGGUGCGAGCGUUAAUCGGAAUUACUGGGCGUAAAGCGCGCGUAGGCGGUCUGAUAAGCCGGUUGUGAAAGCCCCGGGCUCAACCUGGGAACGGCAUCCGGAACUGUCAGGCUAGAGUGCAGGAGAGGAAGGUAGAAUUCCCGGUGUAGCGGUGAAAUGCGUAGAGAUCGGGAGGAAUACCAGUGGCGAAGGCGGCCUUCUGGACUGACACUGACGCUGAGGUGCGAAAGCGUGGGUAGCAAACAGGAUUAGAUACCCCAGUAGUC
rnacentral:rRNA from 1 species